CAUACACACAGAUGCCACGUACCUCCACACACAUACGCACAGAUGUCACGUACCUAGACACACAUACACACACAUAUGUCACGUAUUUAGACACAUACACACACAUGUGACACGUAUCUAGACACACAUACAGAUGCCACGUACCUACACACACGUCACGUACCGAUACACACACAUGUCACGUACGUAGACACACGGGCAUUAACUGCUUGCUCCAGUUACCAUAUUACACUACUAUAGUCUGACGCAUAUAUUUAUACCCAAAAUAUAAACGAUGUAAUUUGUCUUCGCUUUUGACGUGUACUUAAGAUACGUAACUGAUGAUAGGCCUUGAGGUAUCAAGUGUUUAGUGUGGGGACACUGCGGCUGUAAAUAUGUGUCACAGAGUUAUUGUCUUCACACUUACCAUGCCUAAUGUUCGGCGAGAAUGAUCUUUAGCAAGGAGAGAGUGAGUAUUGCAUGAUACAUGUUAUAACGAGAUACAUAUUAUAACGAAAAGUAAGUUCAACGAAACACAUUGCCAACAAGUUGCAUAAUAACCGCUGUGUUUGGCCCGUGUCUGGACACACGCAGUCCGGGAAGGGACUCAGGCGCAGUUGUUAACUCGUCAAAAUGACAGCGUACGAACAGAUUUUAUGAAUGAUUUUAUAAGUAUACUCAGGAAAGUGUAAUAAUUCUUGGAACACAAAGGUACUAGUAUAUAAUGUUAUGUAUACUGAACACAGCUGAUAUUGCCUCCUACUUGGUGCUAUUGUUCCUGUUGCUCUCUUGGUGUAGUGACGCAUGAUGUCUGUAUCUGUUGUAUAUAGCCCGUGAUACAUCUGGGAUGAUCUCAGCAACAGCAGCCAAGGGAACUAGGAACGUCUUUUUUUUAUAAAUUCCUAUUGUUUUAUCAAUUAUAUAUCUAUAAAUCGUUUCGCUAUUUAUAUGUUUAUUUUGGUGAAUGACAUUUAUUCAAAUGGUAUUGGGCGUGGUUGCCGGGGCAGUAAUAUUGCCUUGUCAGAAUACCGUGUGGGGAUAGUGUGUCUCCCUCAGGACAGAUUCUGCUUUGACCAGACACCCAUCACAAGAUCUGCCUUGACCAGACACCCAUCACAAGAUCUUGCCCAGCCUGUACCGCACAGGCAGCAUUACUUCCGGUCAACUUGCAUCUGUAUAUCGUGAACAGAAUAUAUUGUCUUGUUUGGAUUUGACUGUAAUGUCUAUAUGGCAACUGUAUAUAACAGAGUGAAGUUAUUGUCAAUAAACUCUUCGUUAUUCUUA